AUGUAUAAAAUAGUCCAAAAAAAUGCCGAAAAUAGAGCAAAAUUGAAGGCUCCGUAUACACUUGGAUCUAAGUCGCUUGCAAGGAAGAAACAUGAGUUGGAAUCGAGAGAUAGACUAACAUACAAUAGAGGAGAUAUGUAUGCAAUUUCUCAUAAAAAGUCGGAUGGGUCUUUUGUCAAUGAAGAUGCAUACAAAAAUAAUGUAAGUACAAGUUAA